UCACAAACACACGCACGCUUUCUCUCAUACAAACACACGCUUUCUCUCAUACAAACACACGCACGCUUUCUCUCAUACAAACACACGCUUUCUCUCAUACAAGACACUUUCUCUCAUACAAACACACGCACGCUUCCUUCAUACAAACACACGCACACUUUCUCUCAUACAACACACACCUUUCUCUCAUAAACAAACACGGUCUCUCAACACACUUUCUCUCAUACAAACACACGCACACUUUCUCUCAACACACACACUACUCUCAUACAAACACACGCACGCUUUCCUCUCAUACAAACACACGCACGCUUUCUCUCAUACAAACACACCACGCUUUCCUCAUACAAACACACGCACGCUUCUCUCAUACAAACACACGCACGCUUUCUCUCUACAAACACACGCACACUUUCUCUCACACAAACACACGCACGCUUCUCUCAUACAAACACACGCACGCUUUCUCUCAUACAAACACGCACACUUCUCUCAUACACACACUUUCUCUCACACAAACCACGCACGCUUUUCUCUACACAACCAACGCACCUUUCUCUCAUACAAACACACGCACACUUUCUCUCACAAACACACGCUUUCUCUCAUACACAAACACACGCACCGCUUUCUCUCACACAACACACGCACGCUUUCUCUCAUACAAACCAAAACGCACGCUUUCUCUCAUCAACACACUUUCUCUCAUACAAAAACAACGCACCACACGCUCUCUCAUACAAACACACGCACGCUCCUCUCAUACACACACACGCUUUCUCUCACACAAACACACACGCACGCUUUCUCUCCCACAACCACGCAACGCGUUCUCUCAUACAACACACGCACGCUUUCUCUCAUACAAACCAACACACGCUUUCUCUCAUACACACACACGCACCUUUCUCUCAUACAAAC
ensembl:lncRNA